rnacentral:rRNA from 1 species
UACGAAGGGAGCUAGCGUUGUUCGGAAUCACUGGGCGUAAAGCGCACGUAGGCGGAUGUGUCAGUCAGGGGUGAAAUCCCGGAGCUCAACUUCGGAACUGCCUUUGAUACAGCACAUCUGGAGUCCGGAAGAGGUGGGUGGAAUUCCUAGUGUAGAGGUGAAAUUCGUAGAUAUUCGGAAGAACACCAGUGGCGAAGGCGGCUCACUGGCCCGGUACUGACGCUGAGGUGCGAAAGCGUGGGGAGCAAACAGG